GAUGAAUAACGCAGCGAAAUGCGAUAAGUAAUGCGAAUUGCAGAAUUCCAGUGAGUCAUCGAAUCUUUGAACGCACAUUGCGCCCUUUGGUAUUCCGAAGGGCAUGCCUGUUCGAGCGUCAUUAUCACCCCUCAAGCCCUCGGCUUGGUGUUGGACGGUUUGGUGGAGGCCCCCUCGGGGGCUCCUGCCCCUCCCAAAGACAAUGACGGCGGCCUCGUUGGACCCCCGGUACACUGAGUUCUUCACGGGACACGUAUCGGACACAUGGGUUUACGGGACACGGUCUGCCUCCCCUCAGGGAGAAUCUUUCUAAGGUUGACCUCGGAUCAGGUAGGGAUACCCGCUGAACUUAAGCAUAUCAAUAAGCGGAGGA
rnacentral:misc_RNA from 1 species